rnacentral:rRNA from 1 species
UACCGCAUACGAUCUAUGGAUAGAAAGGCGGGGGAUCGCAAGACCUCGCGCGAUUGGAGCGGCCGAUGUCAGAUUAGCUAGUUGGUGGGGUAAAGGCCCACCAAGGCGACGAUCUGUAGCUGGUCUGAGAGGACGACCAGCCACACUGGGACUGAGACACGGCCCAGACUCCUACGGGAGGCAGCAGUGGGGAAUUUUGGACAAUGGGCGCAAGCCUGAUCCAGCAAUGCCGCGUGCAGGAAGAAGGCCUUCGGGUUGUAAACCGCUUUUGUCAGGGAAGAAACGCUCUGGGUUAAUACCUCGGGGUAAUGACGGUACCUGAAGAAUAAGCACCGGCUAACUACGUG